rnacentral:rRNA from 1 species
AGUGAACGCUGGCGGUAGGCCUAACACAUGCAAGUCGAACGGCAGCACAGUAAGAGCUUGCUCUUACGGGUGGCGAGUGGCGGACGGGUGAGGAAUACAUCGGAAUCUACUUUUUCGUGGGGGAUAACGUAGGGAAACUUACGCUAAUACCGCAUACGGCCUACGGGUGAAAGCAGGGGAUCUUCGGACCUUGCGCGAUUGAAUGAGCCGAUGUCGGAUUAGCUAGUUGGCGGGGUAAAGGCCCACCAAGGCGACGAUCCGUAGCUGGUCUGAGAGGAUGAUCAGCCACACUGGAACUGAGACACGGUCCAGACUCCUACGGGAGGCAGCAGUGGGGAAUAUUGGACAAUGGGCGCAAGCCUGAUCCAGCCAUACCGCGUGGGUGAAGAAGGCCUUCGGGUUGUAAAGCCCUUUUGUUGGGAAAGAAGAGCAGCAGGUUAAUACCCCGCUGUUCUGACGGUACCCAAAGAAUAAGCACCGGCUAACUUCGUG